rnacentral:rRNA from 1 species
AGGUCGGGGGGCGUGUGAGGUAAGGUGCGGAUGAUUUAUCAUGAAGGGGUGCAUGCUCAGACCACCAUCAAAAGGUAUCGUUCCCGGACCCCAUCGCUUAACGGCGGUGGGCAUAAGGGGGCGGCACUGGUGGCUCCUGCAUUGUGCUUCUGACCUAUCAACUAGACGGCAGCGUAACGGACAUGCUAUGGUGACAACGGGUACAGAGGAUAAGGGUUCGAUCCUGGAGAGUGGGCCUGAGAGAUUGCUCAUACUUCUAAGGAAGGCAGCAGGCGCGUAACGUUCCCAGUGGACAAAGUCCGAGGGCGUUAGGGGACAUAUGAAUGCCUGCCUUAUGGUGGGCAAUUCAAAUGGGUUUGUUGUAAACAACCUUUCGAGUAACAAUUAGAGGACAAGUCUGGUGCCAGCACCCGCGGUAAUUCCAGCUCUAAUAGCAUACGUUAAAGUUGUUGCGGUUAAAACGCUCGUAGUCGGAUCCAGACCGCCAGAAGCUCGAGCCAAUCCCCCGGGUCAGCUGCUCUUCCGAGCGCGCCGUUGGGAGGGGCGAAAGUAGACGGCGGUCAAUCGUGCACACACCGUACUCCUCACACCGCCCUUCACGGGGCAAGGAGGGGAGCAUCAAGGAGUCGCUCCUAUCCCCUAACCGGGGUAGGGGCGGCUCGGGGUGGACACUUAUUACCGUGACUAAACCGGCGUGAUCAAAGCAAGUCUUUCGACUCGUACGGCACAGCACAGUAUACUCAAGCUACUCGCAGGUCCUUCUUACACAGGUCUGCGGGGGCAAACGUGAUAGGGAUGUUCGAGGGUGACCGAAUUGCAGGGCGAGUGGUGAAAUACGUUGACCCUUGCAAGUCGACCAAAGGCGAAAGCAGUCAUCAAGGGCAUUCCCGUUGAUCAAGGGCGACAGUUAAGGGUUCGAAGACGAUCAGAUACCGUCGUAGUCUUAACUAUAAAUGAUACUAACUAGGGAUGGGCUGUUGUCCAUCUCGACUCCCCCCGUACCCCAGAGAAAUUAAUAAGUCUAUGGGUUCCGGGGGGAGUAUGGUCGCAAGGCUGAAACUUAAAGGAAUUGACGGAAGAGCACACAAAGAGUGGAACCUGCGGCUUAAUUUGACCCAACACGGGGAAACUCACCAGGUCCGGAUACACGUAAGAAAGACAAGCUGAUAGACUUUUCUCAAUGAUGUAAGUGGUGGUGCAUGGCCGUUCGUAGUUCGUGGAUUGAUUUGUCUGGUCUAUUCCGAUAACGAGCGAGACCCCUCUGAUCCUAAUAGGGGCAUUCGCCCGCCUGGAGGCUCCUUCACGGGGGCUUCCUUGCAGCGAUCGCUUAUUAGCUUCUUAGACAGAUCGGGGCCGACAAGGUCCUUGAAAUGGGUUAAUAACAGGUCAGUCAUGCCCUUAGAUGUUCUGGGCCGCACGCGCGUUACAAUGGUAUGUAAAAAGCUCGCCUUGCAUAAGGGCACUCCCCCGGUCUAACGGCUUGAGGUAAUCCCCAAUCCGUACCUUGACUGGGACAGUCUCUUGCAAUUAUUGGUCUCAAACUUGGAAUUUUUAGUAGUCGCAGGUCAUCACCCUGCGACGAAUGCGUCCCUGCUCUUUGUACACACCGCCCGUCGCUGCUACCGAUUGGACCCUCCGGUUACGAACUUGGAGGCACACUCCCUGCGCCCUUCACGGGGCGUAGGGCGUGCACCGAAAUUUUAAUUACCGCAUGGUCUAGAGAUCGGAAGAGCGUCGUGU